GCGAACGCUGGCGGCAGGCCUAACACAUGCAAGUCGAACGAACUCUUCGGAGUUAGUGGCGGACGGGUGAGUAACACGUGGGAACGUGCCUUUAGGUUCGGAAUAACCCAGGGAAACUUGUGCUAAUACCGAAUGUGCCCUUCGGGGGAAAGAUUUAUCGCCUUUAGAGCGGCCCGCGUCUGAUUAGCUAGUUGGUGAGGUGAAGGCUCACCAAGGCGACGAUCAGUAGCUGGUCUGAGAGGAUGAUCAGCCACAUUGGGACUGAGACACGGCCCAAACUCCUACGGGAGGCAGCAGUGGGGAAUCUUGCGCAAUGGGCGAAAGCCUGACGCAGCCAUGCCGCGUGAAUGAUGAAGGUCUUAGGAUUGUAAAAUUCUUUCACCGGGGACGAUAAUGACGGUACCCGGAGAAGAAGCCCCGGCUAACUUCGUG
rnacentral:rRNA from 1 species